GUGGGGAGGGCAGAGGCCAGGCCCUUGACCAUCUACCCGGCCUGGCGAGGUUGGUGGGUGAAUGUGGUUGGCUGGCCGUGAUGGAACAACCUGAGUUGCCACUCCAUGGGCAGCCACGGAAGACCAUGCCCCACGUUCACUUCUCUCACCUGCAAAGGGAGGCUAGGCUGAGAGACGUUUCCCCGAGAGGAAAGAUGGGCCAGAGCCACCAGCGUCCCCAUCUGUCUUCUCCAGGGUUCUAACCUUUGCCUCUCCCUCGUCCCCUGGACCCACCCUCCGUGGGGUCUGUGGGGCCACUGGGCUGGUUAUGCCCCUGGAGGGUGCCUGCCGUGUGGCACCCUCUGGUGGGAGCUGGGGUGGUCUUUACUCAGGAGAGCCUGGGUGAGACCUGGUUUCUUUCUUCCAGACCCAGACAGUCAUCCACACGGUGCAGAGCGCCUCUGGACAGAUGUUCUCUCAGACUCCCGCCAUCCCACCUAUGAUGUACCCCCACCCUGCCUAUCCGAUGCCUUUCAUCACCACCAUUCCGGGAGGGCUGUACCCAUCCAAGUCCAUCAUCCUGUC
rnacentral:lncRNA from 1 species